ensembl:lncRNA
GCGGCGGCGGCGCUGAGCGCGGGGCUGCAGCUCUUCGGGGCCCUGCAGGCCUGGGGCUGGGCCGCGACCCCCGCGCCCGGGCCCUGGGCAUGGUGGGGGCUGCAGCUGGGGGCGCGCCUGGCCGAGCUGGCCAUGGGGGGGGCGCUGGCCGCGCUCGCCUUCGCCGCCCCCCCGAGCGGCCGCGCCCCCCCCGGCGGCCCCGCGGAGCCCCCCGAGGGCGGCGGCGGGCGGGGAGCGGGCGAGGAGGCGGGGGCGCCCCCCGAGUCCCCCCUGGACGCGGACGGGGACCCCACGGCCGGGUUCCGGCCCCCGUCCCCCAUCGACCUGCGCCGCUCCAUCGACGAGGCCCUGGGGGCGCCGGGCAUGUUCCGCGCCGGGAACGGCGGCAUCGGGGGCACCCGGAUCGGCCUCACCGGCAACGCCGCGGGCGCCGGGAACACCGGCAUCGCCCUCACGGGCAGCGCCGGUAACGGUGGGAAAGCCAAAAGCAACGGGGUCAGCGUGCUCGGGAGCACCGGCAGCACCGAGAUCAGCGUCAUCAGCGCCGCCGGCAGCGCCCGCAGCGCCCUGAGCACCGGCAGCACCGGCACCAGCAGCACCGCGCUACCGGGGGGCGGCAGCGCCGCCAUGCCCGGGCUGGGCACCGGGAGCGCCAUCGGCACAGCCGGGGCUGCGGCAGCGGGCGGCACCGGCACGGCGGGGGCGGGCCCGGCCGGAACGGGUGGCACGACCGGCACGAAUAGCACGAAUGGCAAACCUGGCACGGCUGGAACAACCGGCACAGCUGGCACAGGUGGCGCUCCUGACUCAGCUGGCACAGCUGGAACACCCAGAGCAGCUGGCGCGGCUGGCAAAGCUGGAACAGCUGGAGCACCUGGAACAGCAGGAACAGCUGGCAAACCUGGCACAGCCGGAACACCUGGGGUAGCUGGUAAACCUGGUACAGCCGGCACACCUGGCACAGCUGCAACAACCAGCAAACCUGGCACAGCCGGCACAGCUGGCACAGCCAGCACACCUGGCACAGCUGCAACAACCAGCAAACCUGGUACAGCCGGUACACCUGGCACAGCUGCAACAACCAGCAAACCUAGUACAGCCAGCGCAGCCACCAUACCUGUCACAGCCAGCACAGCCGGCAAACCUGGCACAGCUUCGGCAACCAGCAAACCUAGCACAGCCAGCGCAGCUAGCGCAGCCAGCACACCUGGCACAGCCGGCAAAUCUGGCACAGUUGCAGCAACCAGCAAACCUGGCACAGCUGGCACAGCCAGCACACCUGGCACAGCUUCAGCAACCAGCAAACCUGGCACAGCCAGCACACCUGGCACAGCCAGCACACCUGGCACAGCUGGCACAGCCGGCGGGACAGAGCGUGGCACCCCCGGCACCACCAGGGACAGCAAAACCGCGCCCCCGGGAACCGGCAGCGCCGGCACCUCAGGGACGGGGACACCGAGCAACGCCAGCGGCACCAGCGGCACACCUGGAACAGCUGGAACCCCUGGCACACCUGGAACGCAGGGCCCUACAGCGCCUGGCACCGCUGGCCCGUCAGACCCCGGUUCCUCGGGCACAGCUGGGACACGGGGCCCUGGCACAGCUGGCACAGCCGGCGGUGCUGUCACCCCCGGUACCCCCGGCGCCGCCGGCAGCUCCGCCCCCCGCGGCCCCCCCACCGCCCCCCGCCCCUCGGGGCUGUCCCGCGCCGCCUCCUGCGGGGGGGGCCCGGCCCGGGGGGCGGAUCCCGGCGCGGCCCCCCCGAGCCCCGCGACCCCCGCGCAGGGCCCGGCCCGGGCGGCGCCGCCCCCUCUGCGGCCCUCGCAGANNNNNNNNNNNNNNNNNNNNNNNNNNNNNNNNNNNNNNNNN